rnacentral:tRNA from 1 species
UGCGACGCUGGUGUAGGGCGCUCUUGGCGUUCGUUUAGGAGAAAGGGAGUUGUCAUGGCUCGAGUGUCUGUUCAAAAAAGAUCGUCGCGC